GGCGAACGCUGGCGGCGUGCUUAACACAUGCAAGUCGAACGGAAAGGCCCUGCUUUUGUGGGGUGCUCGAGUGGCGAACGGGUGAGUAACACGUGAGUAACCUGCCCUUGACUUUGGGAUAACUUCAGGAAACUGGGGCUAAUACCGGAUAGGAGCUCCUGCUGCAUGGUGGGGGUUGGAAAGUUUCGGCGGUUGGGGAUGGACUCGCGGCUUAUCAGCUUGUUGGUGGGGUAGUGGCUUACCAAGGCUUUGACGGGUAGCCGGCCUGAGAGGGUGACCGGCCACGUUGGGACUGAGAUACGGCCCAGACUCCUACGGGAGGCAGCAGUGGGGAAUAUUGCACAAUGGGCGGAAGCCUGAUGCAGCAACGCCGCGUGCGGGAUGACGGCCUUCGGGUUGUAAACCGCUUUCGCCUGUGACGAAGCGUGAGUGACGGUAAUGGGUAAAGAAGCACCGGCUAACUACGUG
rnacentral:rRNA from 1 species